CAUGUAUGGACUUCUACAUCAGAUGGUUCGUUAUUUCAUGGUGCAGACCAUAUCAUAAAACUGAGACUUGAAAGGUUUUGAAAAACAGUCGCUGCAACAAUGUCUGUGAAACAUUCUUGAUGUUUUGGGCCAUUUGUCAAUUUGGGACCAAGAUCCAACAAACCACAAACACUAAAUUAACUAAUAAAUGGAUUUGUUGGAUUCGGAAAAGACAGUGCAGAAACUUUGAUUUGCUGUGGACAAGUCAAAUCGAAUAAGUUAAAUCAAAUGUGGCACCACGUACUGGGUUUUAUGCUGACCGCACAUUCAGAGCCAUUGGUCAUGUGCUUCUCUUACUGGUUUAUUGAAGUGGGUGGGAGUUGUUUGGCAAAGGUGAUGUCACAUAUUUCCCUGAAUCAGUUUGAUAUAAAACAGCUAUAAUCAAUAUUUUCGCGAUAAACCAAUCAAACUCAGAUAUAUGUAUAUGUGUGUGUGUGUGUGUGUGUGUGUGUGGGUGGGUCCUUCAUUGUUGAAUGAUUGUGUCCAUUGUGGUCUUCUGCUGCUGCUGUCCAUUUACUUCUAGGAUCAAUGUGAUGUGCCUUCAGAGAUGCUCUUCUGCCAUCUCUGCAGUGAUUAUUCGAGUUGGUAUUGCUUUCCUGUCAGUUCAAAUCAGUCUGGCCAUUCUCCUCUGAACUCUGGCAUCAACAAAUCACUUUCACCCAGAACUAUUUCCCCCCUCUCUCUCUUUUUUUUUCUUUUUUUUUUUUUGGACCAUUUGCUAAUCCCUAGAGAAUCAGCAGUUUCUGAAAUACUCCUACCAGCCCAUCAGACACCAACAACCAUACCACAUUAUAAGACACUUAAAUCACGCUUUCUCAUUCUGAUGCUCAGUUUGAACCUCAGCAGAUCGCCUGGAGCAUGCUUACGUGCCCAAAUGCACUGAGUUGCUGUCAUAUGAUUGGCUCACCAUAUAUUCGUGUUAGGGCGCAUAAGAGUAGGCGUACCUAAUAAAGUGGACGAAUAUAGGAGUGUAUGUAUACUGUAGUAGGGUAGCAUGGCAUGACAAAUAGUCUGUAACUCGUGCAUUAUGAUUUUCUCUCACUGAAUUCCAUUCAGCUGAGAUCCUCCACUUCACAAGUAUUUCCACUGGACAAAACGAUGUUGCUCUGACAUCAGACAUUUUUUUAAAUUUUUUUUGCAUAUGUUUUUCUGUGCUGUUACAUGUGCUGUUAUCCAGCAGCAGCCUUUUUGGUUUGUUUUUUUGUGCACAUGUUAGGAAGAAAACUAAUUGCUUUACAGAAACCACAUGGCUUUGAAUACUUGCCUAAAGUAGAAAAACUCCCUUUUUUUUCUGCUGCAGCUCAGCGGCUCGGACUUUGCAGAGAACUUUUUUUCUUCUUUCCUUGCUGUCUCGGCUGAGGAAUUAAGUGUAAUCUGAGUCAAUAUUUAUGCAUUAAUCACCCUGCUGGAAUUCCGAGGCGGCUGCACAUUCAAACGUGCUCUCGAGUGAACUCAUGAAUGUCCGUGCUGCUUUCAGGCUUGGACUCCUGGUUCCAGCAGGAGUUUCUUGCUUGCCUUAGUUGAUAACGAACAGUACGAUCCCUCCAAAAUACAGUGCAGAUUUUUUUUUAAAG
ensembl:lncRNA